CCUACGGGCGGCAGCAGUGGGGAAUAUUGGACAAUGGGCGAAAGCCUGAUCCAGCCAUGCCGCGUGUGUGAAGAAGGCCUUCGGGUUGUAAAGCACUUUCAGUGGGGAAGAAAGCCUUGGGGCUAAUACCCUCGAGGAAGGACAUCACCCACAGAAGAAGCACCGGCUAACUCCGUGCCAGCAGCCGCGGUAAUACGGAGGGUGCGAGCGUUAAUCGGAAUUACUGGGCGUAAGGCGCGCGUAGGCGGUCUGAUAAGCCGGUUGUGAAAGCCCCGGGCUCAACCUGGGAACGGCAUCCGGAACUGUCAGGCUAGAGUGCAGGAGAGGAAGGUAGAAUUCCCGGUGUAGCGGUGAAAUGCGUAGAGAUCGGGAGGAAUACCAGUGGCGAAGGCGGCCUUCUGGACUGACACUGACGCUGAGGUGCGAAAGCGUGGGUAGCAAACAGGAUUAGAUACCCGAGUAGUC
rnacentral:rRNA from 1 species